CGUCGCAUCGCAUCUGAGACUCGAGAGUGUGUGUGUGUGUGUGUGUGUGUGUCUGACCAUUCGUCGGCCUCAAUCGCCGGACGACGCCUUCCUUGCUGUUCACCUUCAGCUCCCCCGAGCCGACGCCCGGGUAACUAACCACGGCGGUGCUGCGGCCGUCCAGGCCAUCCCCGGCCACAUCGCAUUAGAUGAAACGAGCUGCUGCCCGCGGUCCUUCCCAAUCCCAACGCUAGCUCCCCACCUCUGAUUGGAGACAGCUGCUGGCUUCUGGGAGGGAGUGCUCCUGCUCCUGCUGCGGCCUCACUGGUUCUCCUCCUUGCCGCCAUCACCGGCGGCGGCGUUGGCUGACGUAGCUUCCGAAGCUCCGCCGUCACCCGCAUCUGGUGCUCCAGCUGGCGAGAUCCCCAAGACAAGCCUUGGGCACGUCGAUCCCGUUGCAGCGCAGCGGCCGGCGAAGCAGAUUUGCAGCUGCUGGCUGCAACAGGGAAGCUCGGCUCAGCCUCAGCUCGACCAGCAACUGUGGAGCAGAAACAUGGUGGAUUACCGCCGCAUGGGGAAUAUGGAGCAGCACUACUCGCGGAAUGCAACAUCAACAACAUCCUUCCUGCACCAGCUGAGAGAUCUGUGGAAGAGCCCAAGGGGGACAGUACUUCGUGUAGAGGCUUUGGCACUGGCGGCUAUUGCCUUCUCUUUCUUGCUUGUUGCAUUGGGAGCCUGCCGCCGUUGGUCUAAGCGCUGGAUCAUCCAAAAAGGCUUCUUGGCUGCAAACGUGUUAUCUAUAUCUCUUGGGACAUACAGUAUUGGUCUAAUGCAAUCCUCUUCGGUGAAGAGCGAAAUGUAUCCCGUAUGGGCUGUGUCCUUGCUCACCCUCUUCGGCUGCGUCGACCCAGUUACUUCCUACAACGGCCUUGACUACAAGGGCCCACUCUCAAAGAUGAUAUUUCAGCUCUGCCUAUAUUGUGGAUAUGUCCUGCUGAUGAGUAUCUCAACCAUCUCCAGUGAUGUUGCUAACAUAGCCAUCGGUGUGCUGUCUGCUGUCAACUUUUUCAAGGGCUUUCAUAGGUCGUUGGCGCUUGUGCUGCCAAGAAGAAUGCGAAAAAUGAUAAGGCACCUUAAAUCUGAUGCCGAAACAAAUGCUAUAUCAGAUCUUGAUGAUUAUGACUACGCAAUAGUAUCAGACUUGGUAGUUGAUUUCCCCCUAGACAUGGAUGACUCAAAGAAGAGCUUUUAUUCAAUAUUAGCGCGUGAUGGAGUUUUGAGGAAUAAUAUCAGUUUGAGCUGCGAAGACAUGGUUAAGCUACGGAUAAAUGUCGGUGACUGUCAUGAUGUGUGCACUGCCUUCGCUCUGUCUCAUUUGUUGCAACGGCAUUUCAUUGGAUUGAGUGACGCUUCGGAAAGGAAGAACGAUAUGUCAUAUCAGAUUGCUUCAGACUUCAAUCGAGCCUUUAAGGUGAUUGAGGUUGAGCUGGCUUUUCUAUACGAUAUCUUCUUCACGGGUAAUGCAUUCCUUCACUACUAUCAAGCAAAGACUGCUAGUUUCUGGGCAUUCGCUUCAUUCAUCGGGAUAUGUUUUGUUGGGGUGGCGGCUGCCAUCCCUGGGACAAUGACUAGCCGCCAUAGUGCUUCUCUUGGUCCUGGUGCUGGCACCAUCACGACAGCAGAUCUCACCGUUACUCUUGUCAUAUUGGUGUCCCUGGCUCUGUUGCAAUUGUUGCAACUAAUCCGGUGCUGGACAUCAAAUUGGGCGAGAGUUGCAUUUGCCUGUGAGCACGCCAGGAACAUGCAGAAAGGAACCAGACAGCCGCUAUGGUGGAUGAGAUUGAAAGGGUUUCUAGUCACCAGGAUUAAUUGGUUUGACAAAUACCUGUGGCAAGAUAAGCUCGGCCAGCAUUCAGUAAUUGAAGCGAGCAGCAGGAAAGAAGGCAAGCUGUUAUUCAGCCGGAGUGGCCGUCUUUAUGUGAAGUGUGCUCGCUUUCUUCGGAUGGUUGGAUUGCAGUACGUUGGAGAGGUGCUUUGGGAACUGGUGGGCAGCGACAGUAGCACAGGGCCUGCUGUUAGGUUGCACCCCGAUGUGAAGGGCUCCAUCGCCGAGUUCCUUGGUCGGGUUCAUAAUGAUACGAUAGGGGAGAGUUGGUCGUCCUUGUUUGUUGCUAAUGGAGUAGAUGAAUGGCACCUUCCCCAUUGGCAUUUCGACAAUCCUGCAGCUGCAGAACAGCUCUCAUAUUGCUGUUUGUACACACGUUCUGUUAUGAUGUGGCAUGUUGCGACAUGCUACUGCGAACUAGCAGAGCAGGCGAAGCAGAAGGAGCGCACAGGGGCAGAAGAAAAGAGUCGGCGCGUGGCCCUAGCUCUGUCCAAGUAUUGCGCCCACUUGCUGGUGUCAGCGCCGGAGUUGCUACCUGGGACGCUUCAGAAAAGGAAAGGAACAUAUGAUGGCGUUGCGUCGGAAGCAAGGAGAGUUCUGCAAGGGGCCAAAGACAAGCUUGAGGCAAUGCGAAGCGAACCCUAUAUCGAUCUCGACAGCCCUAGCAGCAUCUUCUGGGACGGUGUUCGUCUUGCAAAGCAACUCUUUUGUGGGGACGUUGGGGAUCCCUGGAAGCUGCUGGAAGUUUUCUGGGUCCAGGCGUUGCUCUACGCCGCGCCGUAUGGCGACGUGGAGGUGCAUAUGCAGCAUCUCUCGCAGGGUGGCGAGCUCAUCACCCAUCUCUGGGCAUUGUUGUACCACGCCCACAUCUACAGCUGGAAAACUGUAGAGAGAUGGGGAGGGAAGCCAAUGAAGUUGGAGACCGAGGAGGUAGAAGAGAAUCCCAAGGAUGGAGGACAGUUCAAGGGUGACCAGCUUAAUACCUGCUCAAAAGCAGAGGAUAAUCCGAGUAGUUCAAUUCCUCUUCAAAGUGCCACCGACAUAGAAGAGAACUCCAUGGACAUGGAUUCCGAGGUUGAGAUCGAGGAUGACAUCAGUUCCUGUUCAAAAGAUGAUAAUCCGAAUAGGAUUUCAAUUCCUGUUCAAGCUGACAUUCGAUGGAUGUAGGACAGACAGACUGAGAGGACUUUAGUUCCUGUUUACAGUGGCUCAGGACCAGCGAAUCAGUUCGAGCGCAGGACGCAGCUGGGUCACCUGAGCCCUUGUAAACAGUAACUAAAAUCCUCCUCCGUCUGGUCACCUGAGACCUUUCCAGUCUUCUAAGUAAUGUUUUCUCUCAGAUUUUAAGGUACUCCCAAAUGAAUAUGGACCAUCCGUCGGAGACAAAGGACAGCUGAUGGGGAAGGACUCGCUGCCGCCAGGCCGGAAGUGGACGUCGUCGCCGCUGCUCGGAGGAAGAAGGGCUCGCCGUCGUCGUCGGGGAAGGAGCUGCCGUGGAAGGUGUGGCUAGGAGCGCCCAGGGCGAGCCACACCACCGCUGGGGGCACCAUCCGUGCGAGGCGAGAUUGCAUGGGGAAGGCUGCGCUGCCGCCGCAAGGACCAUCACCGCCUCCUAGGGCCAUCAACGCCAUCACUGGAGGGAGGGACGGGGACGGCGGCGGCGCGGCGGUGGAAUCUUCGACCAGACGGAGGGACGCCACCGCCUCUGGAGUUAAAGGCCCGUCAUCACCGUGGAUGCAAGGAGCCCUCGUCGGCGCCGUCGGUGGUGAGGAGGCCGCGGGCACCCGCGCGGUGCCCCUGUCACCGCGGGGCGCGAACCGUGGGGGGGAGGGGGAGGGCGACGAGGAGGGAGAGCCGCGGCCCCUGGUCCUGCCUUGGUCUUUCCAUGGUUAUUUUCCGGUGUACGCACUCGCUUCGUACGUGGUCUAUACUACAGCGAGCGGAGUACCAACCGUUGUUCAAGGCGGUGUGUACGCGAUUGGAGCAGGUGGCUACGGAGGUUUUUUCCCAACAUGGGUGGCAGCAUAACCUCCGGGUUGACCCACCACCACUUUCGACAUAGGCAUAUAUAGUGUCGGUCUAUAGGACUCUACUGUUGCCGUUUUGUCGAUUUUGAUUCUUUUCUUUCUGUCAAACUUUUUAGAAUUGGCUGUGUGCUCUUAGUUAUGCAGAGGUCGGGUGUCACUCAUAAUGCUUUGUAUCCGCUUGAUGCUACAUUUUUGAGUUAAUAAAACGCCCUUUAUCGAAAAA